CUACCGGGGUAUCUAAUCCUGUUUGCUCCCCACGCUUUCGUGCCUGAGCGUCAAUAAUGAUCCAGUUGGGCGCCUACGCCACCGGUAUUCCUCCUAAUAUCUACGAAUUUCACCUCUACACUAGGAAUUCUCCCAACCUCUAUCAUAUUCUAGAAAGGCAGUUUCAAAAGCAGUUCCAGGGUUGAGCCCUGGGCUUUCACUUCUGACUUGCCAAUCCGCCUGCGCACGCUUUACGCCCAGUGAUUCCGAACAACGCUCGCUCCCCCCGUAUUACCGCGGCUGCUGGCAC
rnacentral:rRNA from 1 species